CAAGCAGCGGGCCGCCAGGGACGCUCCCUGGAGCGCGCUCAGGUGCAUCAGGCGCUGCUCCACAGCUGCUCCCCGGCCGCCUCGGGAAUGGGGCUCGGCUGAGGUCGCGGCUCUCCCGCCCGCAGGCUGGGGGGCGGGGCGGCCCCAGUCCCAUCCCCCGCGUCCCAUCCCCCAGCGCAGCCGGGCCUCCACAUCCUCCCGGCGUCUGUCCUCCCCGCGUUCCCCACGAGAGACAUGGCCGGGAGCAGUGAGAAGGCGCCAGACUCCGGGCGAGGCGUCGUGCUUAUGGAUAACUGGCCGGGAUAUGACUUGGAUUUAUUCACGUAUCCACAGCACUAUUAUGGCGAUCUGGAGUGUGUGCUCAUCCCUCAUGGCAUCAUAGUGGACAGAAUUGAGCGGCUGGCUAAAGAUAUAAUGAAAGACAUAGGCUACCAUGAUAUUCUGGUCCUGUGUGUGCUGAAAGGAGGUUACAAAUUCUGUGCUGAUCUUGUAGAACACCUUAAGAACAUCAGCCGAAAUUCAGAUCGAUUUGUCUCUAUGAAGGUGGACUUCAUCAGACUAAAAAGUUACAAGAACGACCAGUCCAUGGGUGAGAUGCAGAUCAUAGGAGGCGAGGAUCUUUCAACACUGGCUGGAAAGAAUGUCCUCAUUGUUGAGGACGUUGUUGGAACUGGGAGGACCAUGAGAGCACUGCUCAGCAGCAUCGAGAAAUACAAACCCAACAUGGUUAAGGUUGCCAGUUUGUUGGUGAAGAGAACAGCCCGAAGUGACAGCUUCAGACCUGACUAUGCUGGAUUUGAGAUCCCAGAUGUCUUUGUGGUGGGCUAUGCCUUAGACUACAAUGAGUACUUCCGAGACCUAAAUCACAUAUGUGUGAUCAAUGAACAUGGGAAAGGAAAAUACCGAAUAUGACGAAGCAAAAGUCCUCUUUCUCAGAUAACACGAUUCUUCUGCUCAGGAAGCCAGAGUGUAAAGUCCGUCUCCGUAGUAGCUAUCUUCACUCAGCCGGAUGGGAGGACCAGCUGGUUCCAGGAGGGAAGGAGAGGAUUGCGGAAGGGGUAACCGUGACCUCGUGCAGAAGUACGAAAGGAUGAGAAAAGGAAGCUCUUGAGGGAGCCUGCACGUUCACCUGGCGGCAGUCAGACUUCAGGGUUGCAUCCGAACCCUGAGUAGAGAAGGUACUCUCCUCUUUUACACAGCACGACAGCACCUGUGGGCAUGACAAGCAGUUACACAUCAGGACCCGAUGGGGUGUGCAGUGUGGGGAGAGGCAGGAACUGUGGAAAGACAGUCCACACCAGUCACAAAAGCCAUGCUCCGGAGGCUUCAUGCACUCCAGACACCACGCCCAGAGGAUCACGGGACAGGACUGUUGAUGGACAUGUGGAGGAAGCUCGGAGCAGACAGGAAGGAGCACUGCUGAGGUGCAGGCUGUCUGCGCUGCCUGAGACUGCUGAGGACACUGGGCUGGUCGGACUCCACGCUCACCCAGCCAGAAUCCUUGCUAAUGGUUGCGGUGGCCCCAGAAGUGGUUGUUUUUACCGAAAAGGCGUCUUUUUCUUACCUAUUCAAAGUUGGGUUGGUUGGGUUGUUCUUGAUGUAUGCGGUUUCCCAGCUGGAAGUGGAUGGCUUUUCCCACCAGAGCAGACUUCCCUCAGAAAUGAAAGGCAAACGUGAAGACAUGUAGACAUGAAAAGUUGGGGCAGAAUUCUACAUUUUCAAAGCGGGGGAAGUAAGCCUGAACUCACAUCACCAUGGCUUCAUUUGGGCAUGGGGGCGUCCGUCGAGACAGGGUUUCUCUGUGUAUCCCUGGAACUCACUACGUAGACCAGGCUGGCCUUGAACUCAGAGAUCCGCCUACCUCUGUCUCCCAAAUAUUGGGAUCUACCGCAUGGCUCCACGGCCUCACUUUUUAAGGAGAGCCUGGUGAGUGUUGAGUAGACUUCACUGUAAGUGAAGAAGGUUGAGUGCAGUAGGUUCACUUGAGAAACCUGGGUCAGAAGAGACAGAUGGUGGCGAUUUUCAAUAGACAGGGCGUGGGGUUGUGAUGUACCACAGUGGUGCUUAACCCCAAUAAAGAAAAAAAAAAUUAGAAAGGACAGGGAAGACGCUUGUGCUUUUUUGUUGUUUGCUUGUUUGUUUGUUUGCCACAGAGAGUAACACAAUCCAGAGAGAGGGAAUCAGUUGUUUAUUGCUUUGUAUGGUGGCUAGUUUUAUGUCAAUGAGCUGAGAGGUAAGAACCUCAAUUGAGAAAAUGCCUCCACAAGAUCCAGCUGUAGGGCAUUUUCUUAUUUAGUGAUUGAUGGGAGGACCCAGACCACGGUGGGUGGGCGGUGCCAUCCCUGGGCUGUGGUCCUGGGUUCUACAAGAAAGUGGGCUGAGCAAGCCAGUCAGUAGCCCUCCUCCACGGUCUCUGUAUCAGUUCCUGCCUCCAGGUUCCUGCCCUGUUUGAGUUCCUGUCCUGACUUCCUUCAAUGAUGGACAGUGAUGUAGACGCUUAAGCCAAAUAAACUCUUUCCUCCCCAA